rnacentral:rRNA from 1 species
UACGUAGGGCGCAAGCGUUGUCCGGAAUUAUUGGGCGUAAAGAGCUCGUAGGCGGUCUGUCACGUCGGCUGUGAAAACCCGAGGCUCAACCUCGGGCCUGCAGUCGAUACGGGCAAACUAGAGUACUGCAGGGGAGACUGGAAUUCCUGGUGUAGCGGUGAAAUGCGCAGAUAUCAGGAGGAACACCGGUGGCGAAGGCGGAUCUCUGGGCCUUACCUGACGCUCAGGCACGAAAGCUAGGGGAGCGAACAGG